rnacentral:rRNA from 1 species
AUAAAGCGGGUGAAAAGCCCGCUCGCCGGAAGACCAAGGGUUCCUGUCCAACGUUAAUCGGGGCAGGGUGAGUCGACCCCUAAGGCGAGGCCGAAAGGCGUAGUCGAUGGGAAACGGGUUAAUAUUCCCGUACUUGGUGUUACUGCGAAGGGGGGACGGAGAAGGCUAUGUUGGCCGGGCGACGGUUGUCCCGGUUUAAGCGUGUAGGUGUGUGUUCCAGGUAAAUCCGGUUCACUUUAACACUGAGGCGUGAUGACGAGGCACUACGGUGCUGAAGCAACAAAUGCCCUGCUUCCAGGAAAAGCCUCUAAGCAUCAGGUAACAUCAAAUCGUACCCCAAACCGACACAGGUGGUCAGGUAGAGAAUACCAAGGCGCUUGAGAGAACUCGGGUGAAGGAACUAGGCAAAAUGGUGCCGUAACUUCGGGAGAAGGCACGCUGACACGUAGGUGAAGUGAUUUACUCAUGGAGCUGAAGUCAGUCGAAGAUACCAGCUGGCUGCAACUGUUUAUUAAAAACACAGCACUGUGCAAACACGAAAGUGGACGUAUACGGUGUGACGCCUGCCCGGUGCCGGAAGGUUAAUUGAUGGGGUCAGCGCAAGCGAAGCUCCUGAUCGAAGCCCCGGUAAACGGCGGCCGUAACUAUAACGGUCCUAAGGUAGCGAAAUUCCUUGUCGGGUAAGUUCCGACCUGCACGAAUGGCGUAAUGAUGGCCAGGCUGUCUCCACCCGAGACUCAGUGAAAUUGAACUCGCUGUGAAGAUGCAGUGUACCCGCGGCAAGACGGAAAGACCCCGUGAACCUUUACUAUAGCUUGACACUGAACAUUGAGCCUUGAUGUGUAGGAUAGGUGGGAGGCUUUGAAGUGUGGACGCCAGUCUGCAUGGAGCCGGCCUUGAAAUACCACCCUUUAAUGUUUGAUGUUCUAACGUGGACCCGUGAUCCGGGUUGCGGACAGUGUCUGGUGGGUAGUUUGACUGGGGCGGUCUCCUCCUAAAGAGUAACGGAGGAGCACGAAGGUUGGCUAAUCCUGGUCGGACAUCAGGAGGUUAGUGCAAUGGCAUAAGCCAGCUUGACUGCGAGCGUGACGGCGCGAGCAGGUGCGAAAGCAGGUCAUAGUGAUCCGGUGGUUCUGAAUGGAAGGGCCAUCGCUCAACGGAUAAAAGGUACUCCGGGGAUAACAGGCUGAUACCGCCCAAGAGUUCAUAUCGACGGCGGUGUUUGGCACCUCGAUGUCGGCUCAUCACAUCCUGGGGCUGAAGUAGGUCCCAAGGGUAUGGCUGUUCGCCAUUUAAAGUGGUACGCGAGCUGGGUUUAGAACGUCGUGAGACAGUUCGGUCCCUAUCUGCCGUGGGCGCUGGAGAACUGAGGGGGGCUGCUCCUAGUACGAGAGGACCGGAGUGGACGCAUCACUGGUGUUCGGGUUGUCAUGCCAAUGGCACUGCCCGGUAGCUAAAUGCGGAAGAGAUAAGUGCUGAAAGCAUCUAAGCACGAAACUUGCCCCGAGAUGAGUUCUCCCUGAGACUUUAGGUCUCCUGAAGGAACGUUGAAGACGACGACGUUGAUAGGCCGGGUGUGUAAGCGCAGCGAUGCGUUGAGCUAACCGGUACUAAUGAACCGUGAGGCUUAACCUUACA